UACGUAGGGGGCAAGCGUUGUCCGGAUUUAUUGGGCGUAAAGAGCGUGUAGGCGGCUUUGCAGGUCCGCUGUGAAAACUCGAGGCUCAACCUCGAGCUGUCGGUGGAAACCGUAAAGCUAGAGUCCGGAAGAGGAGAGUGGAAUUCCCGGUGUAGCGGUGAAAUGCGCAGAUAUCGGGAGGAACACCUGUGGCGAAAGCGGCUCACUGGACCACAACUGACGCUGAGGCGCGAAAGCUAGGGGAGCAAACAGG
rnacentral:rRNA from 1 species